rnacentral:rRNA from 1 species
GGUUUUUUGAAAAUAAUUUAAAAUUUGAUCUGCUCAAUGAAUAAUUAAAUUGCCGCAGUAUAUUAACUGUGCAAAGGUAGCAUAAUAAUUAGUUUCUUGAUUAGAAGCUGGAAUGAAUGAUUGGACGAUAAAAUAGCUGUCUCUGAAUAAUUUUUUAAUGAAUUUUAUUUUUAAGUUAAAAAGCUUAAAUUAUUUUAAAAGACGAGAAGACCCUAUAGAGUUUAAUAAAAUUUAUUAUUUAUAAUUUUAGUAUUUUUUUUAUAUUAAUUUUAUUUAGUUGGGGUGACUUGAAAAUUUAAGUAAUUUUUUAAAGUUUUAAUUUUUAAUUAAAAAAUUCUUAAUCUAUUUUUUUAAAAAUAAAAUAAAUUACCUUAGGGUUAACAGCGUAAUUUUUCUUUAAAGUUCAUAUUAAAAGUAAAGUUUGCGUCCUCGAUGUUGGAUUAAAAUUAAUUUUUGGUGCAGUAGCUAAAGAAUUAAGUCUGUUCGACUUUUAAAAUUAU